rnacentral:lncRNA from 1 species
UCGCUAAGUAAGAUGUUGCGGGCUUGGUCUCUAAGUCUUGUGGCGUCACCUAAUAGUUAUUGGUAUAUUUUUUAGUUAAGUAAGAUCCAUCGUUCACCAGCAGGUCCAAAGCCAUCAUUGGGACUCUCACUGAACAGUUAUUGGGCCCAACCCCAUCUCUAUCUCAGGACAUCAAAUGUCAAUAGAGUGAUUGUACUUUUUCGAUACAAUCAAAUCACUGUAACCAGUUGAGAACGAU